rnacentral:rRNA from 1 species
CGGCAGGCUUCAUACAUGCAAGUCGAGGGGCAGCAUAAAUUACUUGUAAUUUGAUGGCGACCGGCGAACGGGUGCGUAACGCGUAUGCAACUUACCUUUUACUAGAGAAUAGCCAAGAGAAAUUUUGAUUAAUGCUCUAUGUUCUUAUUUACUCGCAUGAGUAAAUAAGCAAAGCUCCGGCGGUAAAAGAUGGGCAUGCGUCCUAUUAGCUUGUAGGUGAGGUAACGGCUCACCUAAGCUCCGAUAGGUAGGGGUCCUGAGAGGGAGAUCCCCCACACUGGUACUGAGACACGGACCAGACUUCUACGGAAGGCAGCAGUAAGGAAUAUUGGACAAUGGAGGCAACUCUGAUCCAGCCAUGCCGCGUGAAGGAAGACGGCCUUAUGGGUUGUAAACUUCUUUUAUACAGGAAGAAACCUUUCCACGUGUGGAAAGUUGACGGUACUGUAAGAAUAAGGAUCGG